GUGGGGAAUAUUGGACAAUGGGCGAAAGCCUGAUCCAGCCAUGCCGCGUGUGUGAAGAAGGUCUUCGGAUUGUAAAGCACUUUAAGUGGGGAGGAGGCUCUCUUGGUUAAUACCUAAGAAGAGUGGACGUUACCCACAGAAUAAGCACCGGCUAACUCUGUGCCAGCAGCCGCGGUAAUACAGAGGGUGCGAGCGUUAAUCGGAUUUACUGGGCGUAAAGCGCGCGUAGGUGGUUAAUUAAGUCAAAUGUGAAAUCCCCGAGCUUAACUUGGGAAUUGCAUUCGAUACUGGUUAGCUAGAGUAUGGGAGAGGAUGGUAGAAUUCCAGGUGUAGCGGUGAAAUGCGUAGAGAUCUGGAGGAAUACCGAUGGCGAAGGCAGCCAUCUGGCCUAAUACUGACACUGAGGUGCGAAAGCAUGGGGAGCAAACAGGAUUAGAUACCCGGGUAGUCC
rnacentral:rRNA from 1 species